UACAGAGGCCUCGAGCGUUAGGCGGAAUCACUGGGCUUAAAGCGUGUGUAGGCGGACUUCUAAGUACCUUGUGAAAUCCCACGGCUCACCCGUGGAACUGCUGGGUAUACUGGUCGUCUUGAGCCUUCUAGGGGCUACCGGAACAAAUGGUGGAGCGGUGAAAUGCGUAGAUAUCGUCUGGAACGCCGAAGGUGAAAACAGCUCGCUGGGAUUGUGCUGACGCUGAGACACGAAAGCCAGGGGAGCGAACGGG
rnacentral:rRNA from 1 species